rnacentral:rRNA from 1 species
GCAUGAUAUUUUUAUUAAAGAAUUUCGGUUAUCGAUGGGGAUGCGUUCCAUUAGUUUGUUGGCGGGGUAACGGCCCACCAAGACUACGAUGGAUAGGGGUUCUGAGAGGAAGGUCCCCCACAUUGGAACUGAGACACGGUCCAAACUCCUACGGGAGGCAGCAGUGAGGAAUAUUGGUCAAUGGGCGAGAGCCUGAACCAGCCAAGUAGCGUGAAGGAUGAAGGCUCUAUGGGUCGUAAACUUCUUUUAUAUGGGAAUAAAGUAUUCCACGUGUGGAAUUUUGUAUGUACCAUAUGAAUAAGGAUCGGCUAACUCCGUGCCAGCAGCCGCGGUAAUACGGAGGAUCCGAGCGUUAUCCGGAUUUAUUGGGUUUAAAGGGAGCGUAGGUGGAUUGUUAAGUCAGUUGUGAAAGUUUGCGGCUCAACCGUAAAAUUGCAGUUGAAACUGGCAGUCUUGAGUACAGUAGAGGUGGGCGGAAUUCGUGGUGUAGCGGUGAAAUGCUUAGAUAUCACGAAGAACUCCGAUUGCGAAGGCAGCUCACUAGACUGUUACUGACACUGAUGCUCGAAAGUGUGGGUAUCAAACAGGAUUAGAUACCCUGGUAGUCCACACAGUAAACGAUGAAUACUCGCUGUUUGCGAUAUACAGUAAGCG